CAAGUAGAUGUUCAACUUACUUGCAUAAGACCAAUUUGCCUUAGAAAAGUGCAAACCAUAAACUAUAAACGCAAGUACAACUUACUUCCCAUAUUAACUCUCCAAUUACCCGGAGAAAGAGUAAAAACAUAGAUUUUCCAGUAAUUAUGAAGAGAAAUACAGGAGACAACAACACACAUCUAGGCAUGUUCACACCCACCAAAACCAAUUAAGAUUUUCAAUUUUUCCCUCAUGUUGAGAAUAGAGUAUAACGGGAAAGUGAAAUGGAAUUCAAUGUUAUCACAUUUGUUUAUUGAAGAAAGCUACGUCAAACAUCAAUAGUAAACAUCAAGCCCAAUGUUAGCAGAAAUAUGAUUCUAUCCAUGAACUAUAAACCCUCAAUUUUGCAAUGUGUAUGGAUUAAAACAUCCCUAAACCUAAGUAUGAGAUUACUCUAUCCAACAUCGAAAAAAAAAAAAUGGUCCCUUACCUACUUAAAAACAUUCACUUAUUAUUUAUAUUCAACAAACAAUAAACCUCAUUAUUUAUAUCAAUAAAAUAUAUAUAAGCCACAUAGAAUUAAAUUCGAACCAACUCUUUAUUUAAGAAUCAAAAAUUUAAGUAAAACCCUUAGCGUUAAAUCGAUUUUUUUUCCUCAUAACAUCAGAAUCCAAUUAAUUAUCAACAGUUGCUAGUGAAAUAUCAAAACUUUUUGGAGAUGAAAAAUUCUCAGCUACAACCAGGCCGGAGGCCCAGAUGGCAAGUUCUCUUCCCCAAAAAAACACCCAAUCUCUCAGAUACACAAAAAUUCAUUUCUCACCACAUUGCCCACUCGUUCCUCAUUGAAGACAUCCCAAAUUAUCAUAAUAAAAAACAAAUAAACAACAAACUUGCAUGGAAAGCGUACAGAUCAAUCAGGCUUUGAAGGAAAAUGCACGAAAUAGGUUUUACCCAAUUAAUAAAUAUCCACAAAUAGAGAAAAAAAAUCAACAAAAUAUAUAAAUAAAAUCAAUUUUUUUGUAUAAAAACUAAAUAGG
rnacentral:lncRNA from 1 species